rnacentral:rRNA from 1 species
GACGAACGCUGGCGGCGUGGAUUAGGCAUGCAAGUCGAACGGUAUCAUCCUUUCGGGGGUGAGAGAGUGGCGAACUGGUGAGUAACACGUAGGUUAUCUACCCUCAAGACGGGGACAACCCAGGGAAACUUGGGCUAAUACCGGAUAGUGAGCAACUUUUUAGUUGUUUGAAAGGUGGCGUAAGCUGUCGCUUGGGGAUGAGCCUGCGUCCUAUUAGUUAGUUGGUGAGGUAACGGCUUACCAAGGCGAUGAUAGGUAGGCGGCCUUAACGGGUGGUCGCCCACACUGGGAUUGAGAUACGGCCCAGACUCCUACGGGAGGCAGCAGUCGAGAAUAGUCUACAAUGGACGGAAGUCUGAUAGUGCGACGCCGCGUGAACGAAGAAUCCCUUCGGGGUGUAAAGUUCUUUUAUACGUGAGCAGUGUCCUUUAUAUUAAUAGUAUAAGGGGAGAGAUAUUAGCGUAUGAAUAAGCAACGGCUAACUCCGUG